AUGAAGAUAAAUACAGUUUGACCUGCCCACUGAUAAUUUUAUUUAAGGGCCGCGGUAUUUUGACCGUGCUAAGGUAGCAUAAUCAUUAGUCUUUUAAUUGGAGGCUGGAAUGAAAGGUUGGACGAGAAAUGGACUGUUUCGGAUAAAAAUUUCGAAUUUAACUUUUAAGUGAAAAGGCUUAAAUAAAUUAAAAAGACGAUAAGACCCUAUAAAUCUUGACAUUAAAUUUUAAUAUUUAUUUGAUUUAUUAGUUUUAAAAAAGUAUUUAAAAUAUAUGUUGGGUUGGGGCGACAAAAAUAUAGAAUAUUUAACUGUUUGAAUGUAAAGACAAGAUAAUUGAAAAGAAAAAGAUCCUUUAUAAAGAUUAAAAGACUAAGUUACUUUAGGGAUAACAGCGUUAUUUUCUUUGAGAGUUCCUAUUAAAAAGAAAGUUUGCGACCUCGAUGUUGAAUUAAAAAUUCUUUAUGGUGCAGCAGCUAUAAAAGAAAGUCUGUUCGACUUUUAAAAUUUUACAUGAUUU
rnacentral:rRNA from 1 species